rnacentral:rRNA from 1 species
UCGAGCGGACAGAUGGGAGCUUGCUCCCUGAUGUUAGCGGCGGACGGGUGAGUAACACGUGGGUAACCUGCCUGUAAGACUGGGAUAACUCCGGGAAACCGGGGCUAAUACCGGAUGGUUGUUUGAACCGCAUGGUUCAAACAUAAAAGGUGGCUUCGGCUACCACUUACAGAUGGACCCGCGGCGCAUUAGCUAGUUGGUGAGGUAACGGCUCACCAAGGCAACGAUGCGUAGCCGACCUGAGAGGGUGAUCGGCCACACUGGGACUGAGACACGGCCCAGACUCCUACGGGAGGCAGCAGUAGGGAAUCUUCCGCAAUGGACGAAAGUCUGACGGAGCAACGCCGCGUGAGUGAUGAAGGUUUUCGGAUCGUAAAGCUCUGUUGUUAGGGAAGAACAAGUACCGUUCGAAUAGGGCGGUACCUUGACGGUACCUAACCAGAAAGCCACGGCUAACUACGUGCCAGCAGCCGCGGUAAUACGUAGGUGGCAAGCGUUGUCCGGAAUUAUUGGGCGUAAAGGGCUCGCAGGCGGUUUCUUAAGUCUGAUGUGAAAGCCCCCGGCUCAACCGGGGAGGGUCAUUGGAAACUGGGGAACUUGAGUGCAGAAGAGGAGAGUGGAAUUCCACGUGUAGCGGUGAAAUGCGUAGAGAUGUGGAGGAACACCAGUGGCGAAGGCGACUCUCUGGUCUGUAACUGACGCUGAGGAGCGAAAGCGUGGGGAGCGAACAGGAUUAGAUACCCUGGUAGUCCACGCCGUAAACGAUGAGUGCUAAGUGUUAGGGGGUUUCCGCCCCUUAGUGCUGCAGCUAACGCAUUAAGCACUCCGCCUGGGGAGUACGGUCGCAAGACUGAAACUCAAAGGAAUUGAC